rnacentral:rRNA from 1 species
CCGGCGCACGGGUGAGUAACACGUAUCCAACCUGCCGUCUACUCUUGGCCAGCUUCUGAAGGAAGAUUAAUCCAGGAUGGGAUCAUGAGUUCACAUGUCCGCAUGAUUAAAGGUAUUUUCCGGUAGACGAUGGGGAUGCGUUCCAUUAGAUAGUAGGCGGGGUAACGGCCCACCUAGUCAACGAUGGAUAGGGGUUCUGAGAGGAAGGUCCCCCACAUUAGAACUGAGACACGGUCCAA